rnacentral:tRNA from 43 species
UGGCGGCAUGGCCGAGUGUAA